AAAUGAUGAUGAUGAUGAUGAUGAUGAUGAUGAUGAUGGUGAUGGUGUAAAGGAAGCCCUCGUUAUCGUCAUCAUUGCCAUCGCAUAUCAUCCCAC
rnacentral:miRNA from 1 species